rnacentral:rRNA from 1 species
UACGAAGGGGGCUAGCGUUGCUCGGAAUCACUGGCGUAAAGCGCACGUAGGCGGAUUGUUAAGUCAGGGGUGAAAUCCUGGAGCUCAACUCCAGAACUGCCUUUGAUACUGGCGAUCUUGAGUCCGGGAGAGGUGAGUGGAACUGCGAGUGUAGAGGUGAAAUUCGUAGAUAUUCGCAAGAACACCAGUGGCGAAGGCGGCUCACUGGCCCGGUACUGACGCUGACGGUGCGAA